rnacentral:rRNA from 1 species
GGGAGGUAGUGACAAUAAAUCACAAUGCGGGACUAUCAGUCUUGCAAUUGGAUUGAGAACAAUGUACAACUCUUAUCGAUAAGCCAUUGGAGGGCAAGUCUGGUGCCAGCAGCCGCGGUAAUUCCAGCUCCAAUAGCGUAUAUUAACGUUGUUGCAGUUAAAAAGCUCGUAGUUGAAGUGUGGGUGAUCGCUGUUGUGAGACUUCGGUCUCUCGACAGUAAGUCACCCCCUUCCAGUAUCCAGUAGUGGGUAUUCAGUUACUUACUACUGUGUGUUGGUCGUUUACUGUGAGAAAAUUAGAGUGUUCAAAGCAGGCGUUUGCUUGAAUAGAUUAGCAUGGAAUAAUAAUUGAAGGCUUUCGUGUUCGAUUUGAUUGGUUUGUUCAUGGAAGCAAGGUUAAAAGGAACAGUUGGGGGUAUUCAUAUUCACUAGUUAGAGGUGAAAUUC